UGUCCCUGAGCACACAUACCCUCUACGACAAACACUCCGCCUCCUCAUACACAUGAUUCAACAGAUGUUUGCUCAGUGAGUUUCCUGAAUCAGGCUCCAUUAUUCACCACCACUGCUACUACUACUACGUCUCCCUCCAGAGUGACACCAGGAACCCAGGAUGGCUUUUUACAAAGUGUGUCUCGUGUAUUUAACUGUGUUGCUGAUUCUCCCUGAACAAGGCCGUCCUGAGUGUUACAGCCCUUGGCCCAGAAGUGCAGGAUUUAUCGGUCCCCCCUGCUGUUCGAUCGUCUCAACGGCCUUCAUUAAAGACGCUUUUGUUUCCUGCUUUGAACAGAAAGAAAGCACUACUUCUUCUCACUGUAGACUACACGCAUUCAUUUUUACUUCCGUGAACAGAGCACACUACUGUGUGGAUCCAGAAGCCAAGUGGCUCAGCAUAAGAUUACAAAAGUUACAAAACAGGGGGAUAUGUUGCCACCUUCUACAGUCACAGUGACGAUGUUGCAUCACGACGUUGACUCAUAAAGCCUCGCAUUUACCGAAUUUUAUUUUUUUAAAUCUUAAUUUACAACUUGUAAAUGUGACAAAAAUGCCCAUUGUUUUUCACGUCAAGAUAUUAACUAUAAAUAUGACUUUGCAGCAGUUUUAACAUGGCCACUACAAUAAGGUCUUUUUUACCGUAUCGUGCCUUUAAGGACAAGUCUGGUGGUUUUUCUAUAUUUUUCCUGAUGAGUGAUUGCCAUGAAAAGACCAACAGUGAGUGAUCCUACUAACAAGUAUUUCUUGUGUAGCCAACCCUGAUAAAGUAUUGUACUUUUUCCAAGUUCUUUUUUUUAAAGUUGUAGACUCUGUUUCAGAGGACAGUUUAAUUGUAUAAUCCUUAAAGUUGUAGUGAAAUUGCAGUUAGGACAUCUUUAGCUUCUAUCGUGUGGCAUGGUACAAUAGAUUUAAAUCUGUUGUGUGGUUUAUAUAGGAUGGUCUGGUUAAAUACUCACUCUGUAUCACAUUUGAUUUGAUACUUUCUUACUCACAGCAAAAUAAAUUAAAGAGAUUCUGAUAUAAAUUGUAUUUUAUUUUUUUUUUAUGGAUUUCUUAUUUCACUUAUGUCUUCAAUGAAGACAUUAAAGACCACU